rnacentral:rRNA from 1 species
GAUGAACGCUGGCGGCGUGCCUAACACAUGCAAGUCGAGCGCGUCUGAUUUGAUGCUUGCAUUAAUGAAAGAUGAGCGGCGGACGGGUGAGUAACGCGUGGGUAACCUGCCCUAUACACAUGGAUAACAUACUGAAAAGUUUACUAAUACAUGAUAAUAUAUAUUUACGGCAUCGUAGAUAUAUCAAAGGGUUAGCGGUAUAGGAUGGACCCGCGUCUGAUUAGCUAGUUGGUGAGAUAACUGCCCACCAAGGCGACGAUUUGUAGCCGACCUGAGAGGGUGAUGGGGCCACAUUGGAAACUGAUACUGUUCCCAUACUCCUACGGGGAGGGAUGUUGUGGGUAUGAUUGCUCAAGGGUGGCAUUCCUGAUGCAGCAUGUCCCCGUUGAGCGAUGAAGGUCUUCUGGAUCGAAAGUUUGUGUUUGUGUGGGAAUGUGAAUGUGUGUUACCUUGUGUGUGUGAAGCGCUCUGGCACUGCCUGUGCCCUCGUGCGGUGUGCAUAGAGGGUGGGGUGCUAGCGGUAUGCUGGGUGUGUGCUGGUGCGGUAGAGGGGUGCGUAUGUUGUGCUGUGCUGAGUGUGUGUGUGUGUGCGUCUUGCUGUGUCGUCUGACGCGCAUGUGAUGCCUGUCUGAGUGCUA